UUCCUACGGGUGGCUGCAGUGGGGAAUCUUAGACAAUGGGGGAAACCCUGAUCUAGCCAUGCCGCGUGAGCGAUGAAGGCCUUAGGGUUGUAAAGCUCUUUCAGAUGGGAAGAUAAUGACGGUACCAUCAGAAGAAGCCCCGGCUAACUCCGUGCCAGCAGCCGCGGUAAUAAGGAGGGGGCUAGCGUUGUUCGGAAUUACUGGGCGUAAAGCGCGCGUAGGCGGAUUGGAAGGUUGGGGGUGAAAUCCCGGGGCUCAACCUCGGAACUGCCUUCAAAACUCCCAGGCUUGAGUGCGAGAGAGGUGAGUGGAAUUCCGAGUGUAGAGGUGAAAUUCGUAGAUAUUCGGAGGAACACCAGUGGCGAAGGCGGCUCACUGGCUCGAUACUGACGCUGAGGUGCGAAAGCGUGGGGAGCAAACAGGAUUAGAUACCCUAGUAGUCCA
rnacentral:rRNA from 1 species